GAUGAACGCUGGCGGCAUGCCUAACACAUGCAAGUCGAUCGGUAAGGCUCUUCGGAGUACACGAGAGGCGGACGGCUGAGUAACGCGUAGGAACACACCCUGCAGUGAGGGAUAAGACACCGAAAGGUGUUCUAAUACCGCAUACGGUCUUCGGAUUAAAGCAUUUAUGCGCUGAAGGAGUGGCCUGCGUCAUAUUAGAUAGUUGGUGAGGUAAUGGCUCACCAAGUCGAUGAUGUGUAGCUGGUCUGAGAGGAUGAUCAGCCAGACUGGAACUGAGACACGGUCCAGACUCCUACGGGAGGCAGCAGUGAGGAAUAUUGCACAAUGAGCGAAAGCUUGAUGGAGCAAUGCCGCGUGCAGGAUGAAGGCCCUCGGGUUGUAAACUGCUUUUAUAAGAGAAGGUUAUGACGGUAACUUAUGAAUAAGGGACGGCUAACUACGUG
rnacentral:rRNA from 1 species